AUUUCAUUGAACAAAUCAAGAGACCCUUUCGUAGCUCGCAUUCUUCGUUCUCAUUCUUCGUUCUCUCCCUCUCUCUCUCUCUCUCGCUCUCGAUCACACCUCCGCCCCCGGCCGCACUCCCGACCCAAAGAGAAAACCUAGAUAUCGCAGUAGAGACAAAUGAGAUCGAACGGGACGAUUUUUUUGUAGAUGAUUGAACCUCAUUGACGGAUAGUUAUGGAUGCUGCCGAGAUUGAAGAGAAUCUGUUUGUGGCGCGCGAUGCGAAGUUGCAUGGGGGAAUGUAUAGAAUACUUUCAACAAUCGUUUGUAGAGUGCUGGAGAUCUUUCCGUUAGUAGAAGCAGCAAGACCCAGAACCAAGUCUGGAAUACAGGCACUUUGUGCAUUGCAUGUGGCCCUUGACAGAGCUAAAGGUCUUCUUCGACAUUGCUCAGAUUGCAGCAAGCUUUACUUGGCUAUAACUGCAGAUUCCAUCCUUAUGAAGUUUGAGAAGGCAAGAUGCUCUCUUGAAGAAAGUCUUAGGCGUGUUGAAGACAUAGUCCCACAAGCUAUUGGUUGUCAGGUAUAUUAUAGAGAUCAAACUACUCAAAUAUUUGCUGCAUUAUUUGACAUCAUGUUUCAGUACAUAACAAUGUUUUAUUUGCUUGGCCUUUAUAAUUACUUCUGCACCAGUGCUGUUAAAUAUAGAGUUUUAUGAUGCCUUUGUUGUAAUUUACAAAAGGAUCUAUGCUCAUAUGUUCUAUCUGCGAGUGUUUUAGCCAACAAGCUGUGUGCACACCAACUAAAUUUUAGGUUUUUGGUGAAUUCCUCAUUUGAACCAGACACCAACUUAUAAGAGUUUAAAGUGAGGUUGAUAGCUGCUUGUAAAAUUUUCAUAUGCUUAUUCUAGGACUGAAAAUACCAUUACUUGAACUGAAACUACCAAAUCUUCAACCUAAGCUGGUGCCAAAUUUGCUACCAUGUUUGCACAUUGCUUGAAACUGCUUAUGCACUCCAUAUGUUGGUGCACAGACAAUUGUGGGUGCAUGCCACCUCCAUUGAUGUUAUAAAUAAACUCCUACUAUUCUGUUUUCUUAAACGUAUAAGCAACUGCAUUCUUCUUUCCUGCUUUUGUGGAUGUUUGAUUGUCUCAUGGUACAUGAAUGCUUUUCCUUUCCUGGUAAAUGCAAUAAGCUCUCAGAUAGUUUUAAGUUGUAUAUUUAGAAAACACCAGCAAGGAAAUAUAUGGGACAUUAUCUUUAAAUAUGUUGUAUAAUAAUUGCCUGUUGAAAUAGUCUAAUUUUUUUGGAUCAAAUUAGGUAAAAAUCAAGUUUUGCAUAGUUUGGACUUUUGAGUGUUCUGUAACAUAACGGAUGGUGAUGAUCUAGCAUAUGACAACCUAAAUGUUCAUGAUAUUUAGGCUCUAAGAUGGUUAAAUCCAUUAGCAAAUUAUCUCUAGGUUUCUUUUGAAUCCAAUAUAAAAACAUGUCUAGAUUCUCAAUUUUUUUUGCCUUUCAAGAAAUGUGGUGGGAAUGCUACCUUCUAGGUUUGAACGUGGAACCUCUUCUCAGCACAUGCACCGAGGUUAGAGGCAGCAAUCAGCAGACUCAAGUCCCAUGGUCAAAUCUUGUUAAAUUCUCAUUUGAUUUUGACAAAAAUGAUUCCUGGAAUUGAAGAAAAUUGAAAAUGACAAAAUAUUAACAAAAAAUGACCCACAGAUAUAAUACAUUAGCCCCAUAAUUCUUUUUUGGCUGAAAAUCUGAAACCUGAUAGUAGCUUCAGAUUGCUUUUGUAUAGAACUUAAUGCCAAGCUUCAUGCUCUUGUUUUGUCCACUGCUUCUUCUUUAUCUAUCUGGUUGAGCAUCUAGUGCUUCAGUCUAUAGUUUUCCCUGAGGGAAGCUCCCUUUUCCAUUCCUUCUAGUUGUUUUCAUGUCGUAACUGAUUCUUGCCUUGCUUAUGGACUGUAGGUGCUUUGCUUUCCCUGUGAAUCCAAAUGAUUUUAAGAUCCAAUUUUUCAUCCUUAAGGAUAGUGUCUUCUCUUUUGUGUUUCUUUUCCUUUGCCCAGUGUCGUCACUGGUGCUACAGACAUUCUGACUAGCCUCAUAUUUGUCCACCACCGAGGAGCCUGAGAAAAUCCUCUCUAAUUAGUAUCUAUAAUUAACUGGAAUGGUGGGCAUGCAUUGUGGAGCCUUUUGGUUCUCUAUGAAUUCACCAUAGAGGUUUCCUUCAAAUGCCUCCAAGAUAAUUCUCUAUUAACUCCAAAUGGAACUGCACGCAAAUUUUGCAAUGUUACCUCUGCCUUAAUGCAGGUGUACAACUUUGACUCUAAUCAAACCAUUGCCCCUGAGAUGAAGUUAAACCAAGUUAUGGAUGCAAAAGAAGAGUAACGGUGGUGUUCCCUAUUGGAAUUGUGAAUCCUACUUAUUGAAUGAUAAAAAAGAAAGGAUAGUUUGUUAAAUUCAGCAAUCCAUUUGCACCAGUCCAUGUCGAUUCCAGUCCUUAGUAGAGGAUGGUUGGUGGGUUGUGUUUCAUUAUAAAGGAUACCUAUGCAUGUAACAAUGAUUUUGUAUUCCCUGAACUUGCAGAGGUUGAGGUUUGGAUAAACCUAUAGUUAUCAAGAGCUUGGGUGGCUAUUUCGUAAAUGUCAGAAUUUCUUACUUUUGCGCCCCCUCACUUUAGUUGGAAUAACUCAUUGCCUGACCAUUUUUGCUAAUUACAGUUGAAUUAUAACUUAUACAAAGCAGAACUAUUCACAAUUGAAUUUUUCUCCAUACUGAUGAAAUAUCGUGACCAGACCACAUCUAUUUAAAAUUCUUCCAUGUAAUAAGCCUGUAAUUUCAGCACUUUUCAUGUUUGAUAUAGUUGAAAAUUACUUGACUUAUUACUGUCAUGAAUAAAAAGAUCAACAAACUUUAAUAAACAAAUAUAGAUUAAAGCAGAGAACCAACUGGUGCUUAUUAACCCAAUUCAUCUUAAUAGUGUUGAUUAUAAGUUAAUAACAAACCUGAAACAAACAAGCUAAAAAGAUACAGCCGAAUGCAUUUCUCCAAUUGAAGUCUAUAUGAAAAACAUAUACUUUGACCUAUUUUAUUAGGAUUCCUUCAACUAUUUUGAGUACUCCUUGUGUGCUUAUAUUCAUCUUAGUUCAUAAACACAUGCCAUCUGUGGUUCUCAUUUUAAGGUGACUCAGAAUUAUAAUUACACCAACUAGUUCUAGGACAAUCCUAAGAUUGGAAAACUGUGAGGACUCGAUUCCUUUUUUCUUUCUUGGGGCUUCAGUCUGUAAUUCCAUCUACCUUAUGUGGAGUUGGGUUCAUCUAUUGGGUGUGGAUGCUUGUCUAGGCAUCAUAUCCUUUCAAUACCUAAGAAUAUCUUCUCAUGGGGCUGUAUCUGAUUGUUAUACCAUUGUUUGUGUUUAACAAUUAAGUGCAGGUACUUUAAACUAAUAAAAGUGUUUGGGUAACAUUGAUUUCCUUCAAUCCCUUGUUUUAUAGCUGCUUGAAAUCUACUGAAAGCAAUUCCUUGAAACCUAGUAGACCUGGCCAACUUGUUAUUUGCAACCUAAUUUGGUAGGGUCAAAUCCAAACAUGGCAUGUCAAAAACCUGUUUGAGCCGCUAAUCCAAGCAGUUUGAUCAUUGAAACCUGCUUGGUUGACUGCUUGAACAGGCCAUAAUCUCUUAAAGAAAUAUGAUUUACCUAUAUCUUAACAUCAACAAACCAUUACUGUAGCCUUUUCUCCAUCACUAACCCUAAAGCCCACCCCCUAAGCAUCCUGAUGGAGGACCCAUUCUUGGCACCUAGAAACUAAUCAUUGUUGCACAGGUCUGUUGACAUUUGCUAUCUCAUCUGCACCAAGGGCCACUAGCUGAUGGCCAUGGAGUUCUUGUCAAUCAAAUGGGAUCUUGCUUACAAUUCUUAGACUAGGUUAUUGUGAUGGUUGGAGGAGAUAGAUAACAUACUACGGGUAGAUAAAGAGGGAUUGAAGCAAAAAAGUGAAUAAGUUAGUUUUGGUUAGGUUAAAAAAUAGGAAAGGAAAAGAGUCAUAACUCAACUUAUGUCUGAAAAAAGGGUUCAAGGUGUCUUUGACCUUUUUUGUACUUUAUUUUUCUAGGCACAAACAUCACUUUAGUUUUAAAAGUCAUUUUCAAAAUAUACUUAAAUAGAAGUUAUAAAAUAAAAAAAGAACUUCUAACCCUAUUAUUUGUAGGGAACCUUAUCAAUAGUGGUAUGUGGACACUACGGCUCACGUAGUAUACAAUCAGGCAGAGCAAGGAUGGUGUUGUAUGCUGAGGGAAACUUUAUGACUAGAAAAUCUAACAUAAUUGUGGUCUAUCGAGAUUUCUUGUUGAUCAUGAUGGGAAGAGUGAUUUACCCCUUCAAUUGGUAUAGGGUCUCCGAAGAAACCAACUAAUGGGGAAUCAAGUUUCUGAAGCCAAUCUAUUAGUAGAUUCAUCUUUUGAAAAGCUUUCUAAAAUAAAAUAUUGAUAGAACUUUCAUUAUCUAGCAAAACCUUUUGUACAUCAUAAUUAGCAACAGUAAGUGAAAUAACAAUUGUAUCAUCAUGGGGGUCUGUACCCUCUCUAAGUCGGCAGUUGAGAAAGAUAUGACUUCUUGGAUCUCGACCCUUUUGGGGAUGAAACCCGCAUUAGAGCUGCUCAAGUAUUCUUCCAAGUUGAAGAGCUUGAUCCUCCCAUUAUGGGUCCUCUCGAGAUUAUGUUGAUAACUCUGGUUGUAGGUUGGUGAUGUUCCAAUUUCUUGGACGAGCAUCUACCUCAUCUCCCUUCCUCUUCUCAGCAUCGAUCGUGCACGUAAUAACCAAGGUAUCCUUGGCAAAUAAGAGCUUCAAUCUCAUCCUUUAGUUUGACGCAUUCCUUGGUGUCGGGGCCUUGAUCUUCAUGGAAGUGAUAGUACUUCCAUGAUUCCUGACAUUCAAGGAAGUUUUCAUUUUCUUCGGCCAUUGAAGGUGUUGGUGCAAAAAUCCGCUUGCGCCGGAG